rnacentral:rRNA from 1 species
CCUACGGGGUGCAGCAGUGAGGAAUAUUGGUCAAUGGGCGCGAGCCUGAACCAGCCAAGUCGCGUGAAGGAUGACGGCCCUACGGGUUGUAAACUUCUUUUGUCAGGGAGCAAUUGGGUUCACGCGUGGGCUUAGCGAGAGUAACUGAAGAAAAAGCAUCGGCUAACUCCGUGCCAGCAGCCGCGGUAAUACGGAGGAUGCGAGCGUUAUCGGGAUUUAUGGGGUUAAAAGGGUGCGCAGGCGGAAGAUCAGUUCAGCGUGAAAAUUGAGAGGCUCAACCUCUUCGAGCCGUUGAAACUGGUUUUCUAGAGUGAGCGAGAAGUAUGCGGAAUGCGUGGUGUAGCGGUGAAAUGCAUAGAUAUCACGCAGAACUCCGAGUGCGAAGGCAGCAUACCGGCGCUCAACUGACGCUCAUGCACGAAAGUGUGGGUAUCGAACAGGAUUAGAUACCCCAGUAGUC